UACGUAGGGUCCGAGCGUUGUCCGGAAUUAUUGGGGCGUAAAGGGCUCGUAGGCGGUUUGUUGCGUCAGGAGUGAAAACUUACAGCUUAACUGUGAGCGUGCUUCCGAUACGGGCAGACUUGAGGUAUUCAGGGGAGAACGGAAUUCCUGGUGUAGCGGUGAAAUGCGUGAGAUAUCGAGAGGAACACCUGCGGCGAAGGCGGGUUGCUGGCUGAUACUGACGCUGAGGCGCGAAAGCCAGGGGAGCGAACGGG
rnacentral:rRNA from 1 species